rnacentral:miRNA from 1 species
AGCCAAGCGGUUCUCUGUGAGUUCAAGGCCAGCCUGGUCUAUGGAACUAGUUCCAGGGCAGCCAGGGCUACACAGAGAAACCCUGUUUCAAAA